GUGGGCUAUGGUGACAUGUAUCCAGAGACAGUAGGGGGGAAGCUGGUUGGCUCUAUGUGUGCCAUUGCUGGGGUGCUCACCAUCUCACUGCCGGUACCUGUCAUCGUCUCAAAU